GACGGAGGAUGCAAGCGUUAUCCGGAAUUAUUGGGCGUAAAGCGUCCGCAGGUGGCUGUUCAAGUCUGCUGUCAAAGCGCAGAGCUUAACUCUGUACAGGCGGUGGAAACUGAAGAGCUAGAGUAUGGUAGGGGUAGAGGGAAUUCCCGGUGUAGCGGUGAAAUGCGUAGAUAUCGGGAAGAACACCAAAGGCGAAAGCGCUCUGCUGGGCCGAAACUGACACUGAGAGACGAAAGCUAGGGGAGCGAAUGGG
rnacentral:rRNA from 1 species